UAACUGAUUGGAAGGAAGUGUUAUCAUGUACAUUGUUUUGUCUUGGUAUAAAAGAUGGGCUACAGCAAAUAUUCUACUCAAUACCACAGAUUUUCUAAUCAGUUGUUUGACCGUAACCAGUCGAGUGUGUCCCUUGGUGGUUGAUGAUAUCUGUAUCUCUGAUCAUGAGCAGAAGUUGUGUGUGAGGAUCAUAGCC